rnacentral:lncRNA from 1 species
AAGAAAAAAAAUUAUUUUGUUUGUUUUUUAGAUUUUGUAGAGAUGGUGUUUCCCUAAGUUGCUCAGGCUGGUCUCGAACUCCUGGCCUCAAGUGAUCCUCUCGCCCGGGCCUCCCAAAGUCCUGGGAUUAUGGGUGUAAGCCAACAUGCCUGGCCCCUUUACUUCUUCUUUUCUGUUUUGGUCACAAAACAUUUCUCUGUUGAUCACUGUAGUGUGUGUGUGGAGGGAAGUGGGGGAGGUACACUCUUAAGAAAUGAAAUAGUUAACAUCUUGGCCCUAAGAUUUGUUGUAGAGAUGGAGUCUUCUCAUUCUGUUCCCCAGGCUGGUCUUGAACUCCUGGCCUCAAGCAAUCCUCUUUCCUCGGCUUCCCAAAGUGCUGAGAUUGAUUACAAGUGUGAGUCCCAGCUCAGUGUCACAGACCUUUGUGGAAGCAACAACAGCUCCCAUCGUUCCAACCUUUCUGGAGAAGCCGUGGCCUGAUGGUGAGCCGAAUGGGCUGGGGGGGGAGAAGAAGGCGGCUGGGGCGGUGGGGAGAUCUGGGGCCUGGAUCGGUGCCCCUCCUCCCCAUGCCACUGCCACCUCCUCCUCCUCCUUCAUGCCGGGGACCUGGGGGAGGGAGGAUCUCCAUCUUCUCUCUGUCCCCUGCCCCUCAUACAAGAAGCUCCCCCUCCUCAUUUUCCCCUCCCACCGCAGGGCCCCCUUGCUCAGUGCUACAGGGGACAGGGGCUUCUCAGUCUUGCCACAGUGCUCUCCCUAUCCCAGCCACCCCCCCAACACAGGCUCAACCUGCAAUGACACCUGCCUCUGCAUCUCCCUCCUGGGGAUCCCACUCCACCCCACCCCUGGCCCCGGCAACCCCCACUCCCUCACAGCAGUGCCCCCAGGACUCUCCUGGGCUGCGGGUAGGCCCUUUGAUCCCUGAACAGGAUUAUGAGCGGCUGGAGGACUGUGACCCUGAGGGGUCCCAAGACUCACCCAUCCACGGGGAGGAGCAGCAACCCCUGCUUCAUGUCCCUGAAGGGCUCCGAGGCUCCUGGCAUCACAUCCAGAACCUGGACAGCUUCUUCACCAAGAUCUACAGCUACCACCAGCGGAAUGGCUUUGCCUGCAUCUUGCUGGAGGAUGUCUUCCAGCUGGGACAAUUUAUUUUCAUUGUCACCUUCACAACCUUCCUCCUUCGAUGCGUGGAUUACAAUGUUCUCUUUGCCAACCAACCAAGUAACCAUACCAGACCUGGGUCGUUCCACAGCAAAGUGACCCUGUCAGAUGCCAUCCUACCCUCAGCCCAGUGUGC